AGCUGACUGCCCUGUGUUUAUCAAUGUAGUGGCAUCUGCGGUUCCAGGAACUGAUUGAUCUAUAGAAACCUUACGAGGGCUGUCCAUGUAGGUGGGUGUGAUAGCAAUGCUCCCGCUCUCUGAAGGCUGCCCAGAGCUCUUCCCAGAAAGCAUUGCUGCCUGCUGCUCCCCCAGACUCUUCUGAUUGGCUUCCAUUUCCAGCAGAGCUGAGAGCGCUGAGGUUCC
rnacentral:lncRNA from 1 species